rnacentral:tRNA from 1 species
GGGGCCAUGGCUCAGUGGCAGAGAACCUGCUCCACAUGCAAAAGGUCCCAGGUUCGAUACCCGGAAUCUCCA